CCAAAUCCCAUCCAACCCAUCUCGAUCUUCACCCUUCCCACAAACUCCAUUUCUUCAACUGGUGUCGUUCCCAUCAUUCCUCCCCUCUUUCCUCCUCUGCUUACUCCCUCAUCCUCCGCACCCUCUCCUGACCUGCCUUCCUCUAUCAUCUCCUCAACUCCAAAACCACUUUUCCUUCACCAUCGUACAACACCACCUCACCAAAACACUCCAAAAUUUGAACUUUGUGUCCAAUAUCAGAAACCCAGAAGGAAACACUCCUCUUUGUGCCCAAUCUCAACCCAAAAUUCGAACUUUGUGUCCAACCUCAACCCCCACCAUAGCCAUAAAAGAGGAACACGAAGAAUGGGAUUUCGAUCUGUCCCAAACCAAGAAGAGGAACGAUGGCUGGUUUCUGAACAUGUGGUGGCGGUGCCCAAAGGCCAUGGCUGAAUCUCUUAAUCUCUUCCUCUUCUCUUCGUUUUUGUGCUCUGUGGCCGUGUGGGUGUGGGUACAAGCGUGCGUAUCCUUCAAGAGCUCGUCGAAGAAAUUGUCCAUGGAACCGCUUCUGGGAAUCUCG
rnacentral:lncRNA from 1 species